rnacentral:lncRNA from 1 species
AUGGAAAGGAAAAUCGUGGGUGUUUGGUUAGUAAAUAGUUUGAGGUAGAUUUAUAAUUUAUCUGGUAUGUUUUAUCCAAUCUUAAAUUUCUAAGACUAUUCUUAUAGUUAUAUUAUUAAAAAAUGGCAUAGGUUUUAUCCCUUUCGGAAAGCUCACUGAGGUGGAAGUAUUUCAUAUCACUCUAUUGAUUAUUUUUUAUGGGUAAGUUUUUCAUCCAAAUCCAACGAAGCUGGAUCACAGCGAGUCUAGAUUUAAAAUUCUAUAUUAUAAUUUUAAUAUAAAAAUUCUUAGGUUGUAAAAUAUUAUCAAGCUUCUUUUUUUAUAAAAUAUUUUAAUUAAUUUGGUAUUCAAUUAUUAGUGAAAUUUGAACUCUAUAAUAAUAAAUAAUGUUUAUGUAUUGAGAAAAAUAUCCAAUUUGAUCAACUAUCUGAUUAUAAAAUGCCUCCAUUCUCCCUAAAAUUCCCUUUUCCAAAAUUGAAAUUUACUGUACUAAAUACCCUUAAUAGUAAUUAGCUUAA